UGGGGAAUAUUGGACAAUGGGGGGAACCCUGAUCCAGCCAUGCCGCGUGUGUGAAGAAGGCCUUAUGGUUGUAAAGCACUUUAAGCGAGGAGGAGGGUACUGGUAUUAAUACUACCAGGUACUGGACGUUACUCGCAGAAUAAGCACCGGCUAACUCUGUGCCAGCAGCCGCGGUAAUACAGAGGGUGCAAGCGUUAAUCGGAUUUACUGGGCGUAAAGCGCGCGUAGGCGGCUAAUUAAGUCAAAUGUGAAAUCCCCGAGCUUAACUUGGGAAUUGCAUUCGAUACUGGUUAGCUAGAGUGUGGGAGAGGAUGGUAGAAUUCCAGGUGUAGCGGUGAAAUGCGUAGAGAUCUGGAGGAAUACCGAUGGCGAAGGCAGCCAUCUGGCCUAACACUGACACUGAGGUGCGAAAGCAUGGGGAGCAAACAGG
rnacentral:rRNA from 1 species